CUACGGGGUGCUGCAGUGAGGAAUAUUGCACAAUGGGGGGAACCCUGAUGCAGCAACGCCGCGUGGAGGAUGACGCAUUCCGGUGUGUAAACUCCUUUUAUAUGUCAAGAAAAUGACGGUAGCAUAUGAAUAAGCACCGGCUAACUCCGUGCCAGCAGCCGCGGUAAUACGGAGGGUGCAAGCGUUACUCGGAAUCACUGGGCGUAAAGGACGCGUAGGCGGGUUGGAAAGUCAGGUGUGAAAUCCUACAGCUUAACUGUAGAACUGCACUUGAAACUUCUAAUCUAGAGUAUGGGAGGGGGAGAUGGAAUUAGUGGUGUAGGGGUAAAAUCCGUAGAUAUCACUAGGAAUACCUAAAGCGAAGGCGAUCUCCUGGAACAUUACUGACGCUAAAGCGUGAAAGCGUGGGGAGCAAACAGGAUUAGAUACCCUUGUAGUC
rnacentral:rRNA from 1 species